rnacentral:lncRNA from 1 species
UUGAUGUUCCGAGUCUUGGUUCCUGUUUUCUGGACUUUGGACUUGGUAGUUGAAUGAAGCCAUCAUCUUUUCCUAUCCCUCCUUCAAGGUUAUCCUCACUACAAUAACCCCAAUGGUUUGUAUGAUCAGAAUCAUCAGUAUCCUCUUCAGGGGUAGAGGAUUGUGAGUCGAGAGCAUCAAGAUUCUUAAUUAGAAGACCUUUUCCCUCCUGAGCUCGAUUCCCUAAAGGUUCACUCUCCAUGGUCAUCCUUUCAUCUGUCGCAUUUCCAUCACUUCUACCCCUCUUUCUUCUAGAUGGAAAAUGCUUCCUACCCUUGACAUAAUUACAUCUCAAGUUUCGGGGGAUAUCUUCUUCAGUCAUAAGCACGACAUCGCUUCCACUUCCACCAUCAUUAUUCUUUCCCUUGUAAACAGUGUCUCUCCUCCUCCUCCUCCUCCUCCUCAUCCUAUCUAAUUCCUUCAAUUUCACUUCUUCCACCACUUUCUCUUCCCCCAAAAUCCUAACAUCACUUCCACUGCUCUUAUCAUCAUAAAAAAUCUUUUUAGCAGUUCCUUUCCUUUUUCUAUUGAACAGCUUCCGGUGUACAUUUUCUCCCUCUUGCUCUUCAUCACCGCUACUGCUGCUAAUUAUAAUCAUUUCUUCAUCCCUCUUUUUCCCUUCAGUAGCGUUCAUUUCUUGAGAACCAUGGGCUCCCUUCCCUUUCUUCUCCAACUUGUGCUUUAUUUGAGCUUUUGUCCUCUUCACUACAGUGCUUCUCUUUUCUUCCAUAUUACCUGAAAAUAAAGAAAGCAAAGAUUAUAAACCCAAAUAGCAAUACAUAGAAAACCAGAAACUACCAUUGCUUGGUAAAAGCGACAAUGAUCAGGCAAACCAAUGAUAGACCUACAGACCUCCUAGAAAAAGAAACAAAUUAUGCAGAAGCUUAACUAUAGCUGCACUAUAAACUUCAACUCUAGCUAAAUAGUCCUUACCAUCAGGGUCUAGGAACACUAUUCUAAAAGGUGCAGGGGACAAGUCAUCUGCACAAACAACAAAAAUAAGAGAAAUUCUUUGCGUUCUAACUCAGCAAACCUCAUCCUAACUCCAGCUUAUACUAGAAAACUUUGAUUGUCAACCAUGAAACCAAAAUUUUCACUCAACAAAGUAUUGAAUUCCAUACAAACACACAGUUAUACACAGUAACAAUACUUUAAAGAUCAAAAAUACUAUUUUGGAGAAAAGAAAAACAAAGCUUUAAUGCCUCCUUAUAUUAAAGGAGGUUGUCCACUUUUAAUGAUCCUCUUCAUAAACUUACCAUUACACAUAUAAAUAAUUGUUUAGUUCAAUCAUCUACUAGCUAAAAAAUCUUAGACCAGAUUUGCCAACAGAUAAAGAUAAAAGAUAAAAAUAUCUUAGACCCAAAGGAGAAACAUGCUCUCAAAAUUCGAUACAGCUUCCUAGUGACUUGUGCAUCAUGGAAGUAAAUAUUGUGAAAAUCGAUCUUUUCUGGGGAAUUAAUUGUCUUUUUCAGAACCAGAGUACUUCACAAGCAAGCAUUUGACCUGAAAGCGAAAACCCAUGACAAAAAUGUUAACCAAGAUCUACUUUGUUCUUUUCUAUGAUAGCCCAUUGAUAUUGAUAAGAUCAAUCUACUUGCCCUGAUGACUUUCCAUUGCAGAUGAAGCCAAUAACAAACUAGCAUUUGGAAGCAAUACAUGGCCCUUUUGCAUUUACUAGCUCAAUAAUCUUAGACCAGAUUUCUCAAGAAAUAAAAAUGAAAAAUGACAAACAUAUCCUACAUAUCCUACACUACUGAGUAUUGACGUACCUUAUUUCUGAUAUGACGUGAAAAAGGCCUGAACACAAGCUUUCUGAGCACUGGAAAAUUAAGCACGUCUUCCAAGUUAGCCAAGUAGUUAAAGUAUCUGCCCCAAGAGCCAAGAAUGUCAUAUCUCUCAUAAUUAACAAGCACCAUUACCUUGGAAUUGGAUGAUUCGGUAAAGUCAGAAUCUGGUAAUGUAAGGCAUAUUUCCAUCUCAGUAAAAAGAUUAUCAAUUUCUUUUUGCCAGUCUUCUUUCUCCGGUGGGGUUAGAUCUUCGUCAUCAAAUCUGAAUUUUAAUAGCAGUGUAUUAGUAGGACCAUUGUCUUCAAAAGAAAAUGGAUUUUCCUUUGUCUGCUUAUCAUCCUUCAGCAUGGACCCCAGAAGAAUAUUCAUGUAAUCCACGUCUCUUUCUCUUCUCUUAGAGGGUUUAGUAUUCUACUGCCUUCCUUUUUCUUCUUUGGCACCUGAUCUGAUGAAUCAUAACUUUCACUCUCAGAAACAUGAAGGCAGCGCUUUCUUGAUGUUCCGAGUCUUGGUUCCUGUUUUCUGGACUUUGGACUUGGUAGUUGAAUGAAGCCAUCAUCUUUUCCUAUCCCUCCUUCAAGGUUAUCCUCACUACAAUAACCCAAUGGUUUGUAUGAUCAGAAUCAUCAGUAUCCUCUUCAGGUAGAGGAUUGUGAGUCGAGAGCAUCAAGAUUCUUAAUUAGAAGACCUUUUCCCUCCUGAGCUCGAUUCCCUAAAGGUUCACUCUCCAUGGUCAUCCUUUCAUCUGUCGCAUUUCCAUCACUUCUACCCCUCUUUCUUCUAGAUGGAAAAUGCUUCCUACCCUUGACAUAAUUACAUCUCAAGUUUCGGGGGAUAUCUUCUUCAGUCAUAAGCACGACAUCGCUUCCACUUCCACCAUCAUUAUUCUUUCCCUUGUAAACAGUGUCUCUCCUCCUCCUCCUCCUCCUCCUCAUCCUAUCUAAUUCCUUCAAUUUCACUUCUUCCACCACUUC